rnacentral:rRNA from 1 species
AUGUAUCCUCACUCUCCUACUCCUCCCCGAUCUUCCUACAUCGUCACCGCCCCUCAAGUUGCUAUCAGAUCCGUCAAAAGACGGAUGGCCAAACCUGGUGGAGUUGGUGAUGUUGAGAUGACCGAAGAGGUGAUGCGAGUUUAUGAAGAAGAAGAAGAAGAAGAAGAAGAAAGAAAGAAAAGAGGAGCAUGA